UGAGUACGAGCUGCUACGGCAGCGAAGUGGGUAUGUCAUGCUUCCAAGAAAAGCCCUAUACCCGUUAAGGCAUCACUGCCUGUACCCGAAACCGAUAUAGGUAGGGUGGUAGAGAAUACCGAGGGGCGCGAGGUAACUCUCUCUAAGGAACUCGGCAGAAUGGCCCCGUAACUUCGGGAGAAGGGGUGCCACCGUAAGGUGGUCGUAGUGAAGAGGCCCAGGCGACUGUUUACCAAAAAUAUAGGUCUCCGCUAAGUCGUAAGACGAUGUAUGGGGGCUGACGCCUGCCCAGUGCCGGAAGGUUAAGGAAGCUGGUUAGUGUAAGUGAAGCUGGCGACUGAAGCCCCGGUGAACGGCGGCCGUAACUAUAACGGUCCUAAGGUAGCGAAAUUUUUUGUUGGGUAAGUUUUGACCCGUAUGAAAGGCGUAACGAUCUGGGCGCUGUCUCGGAGAGAGGUUUGGUGAAAUAGAAUUGUUUGUGAAGAUGUGGAUUAUGUGCACCCGGACAGAAAGACCCUAUGAAGCUUUACUGUAGCUUGGUAUUGUGCCCGGGCUCUGAAUGCGCAGGAUAGGUGAGGCUUUGAUCCAUAGCUUGCGGGUUAUGGUGAGCCAACGGUGAGAUACCACUCUUUCAGAGCUAGGGUUUUAACCCUCGUCCGUUAUUUGGGGAGGGGACAGUAUCAGGUGGGCAGUUUGACUGGGGCGGUCGCCUCCUAAAAGGUAAUGGAGGCGCGCAAAGGUUCCCUUAGGUUGGUUGGAAAUUAGUUGAUGAGUGUAAAGGUAGAAGGGAGCUUGACUGUGAGACUUAUAAGUCGAACAGGGACGAAAGUCGGCCUUAGUGAUCCGACGGUUUUGAGUGGAAGGGCCGUCGUUUAAUGGAUAAAAGUUACUCUAGGAUAACAGGCUGAUCUCCCCUAAGAGUUUAUAUUGAUGGGGAGGUUUGGUAUUUUGAUGUCGGCUCAUCGCAACUUGGGGCUGAAGUUGGUCCCAAGGGUUGGGCUGUUUGCCCAUUAAAGCGGUAUGUGAGCUGGGUUUAGAACGUCGUGAGAUAGUUCGGUCCAUAUUUGGUGCAUGUGUAGGAACAUUGAGAGGAUUUCUCCUUAGUAUGAGAGGAUUGGGAGGAACGCACCUCUGGUGUACCAGUUAUCGUGUUAACGGUAAAUGUUGGGUAGCCAUGUGCGGAGCGGAUAACCGCUGAAAGUAUUUAAGUGGGAAGCCCACCUCAAGAUGAGUGUUCCUAUGGUUUAAGCCAGUAAGGUCACGGGUAGAAUACCCGUUGAUAGGCUCUACGUGGAAGUGCUGUAAGGCAUGAAGCGGAGGAGUACUAAUAGACCGAGGGCUUGA
rnacentral:rRNA from 1 species